AAAACUGCUACAACUUGGCUGUCGAGGACAACCCUACAAGCGUCCUCCUCGCCGCCGGAGCUAUCUCGGUCUUCCUCUUCAGAUGUCUCCGACGUCGUUCAGGAUGAAUCCAAUUGAACCGAUCCCCUUCUCUUCUCCUUCGUUCCUUACUUAUGCCUUUUUUUUGGGGGGAACUCGAUGUGAAAGUGAGAUCGAGCGGGGAGGAGACAAGAAAAACCUAAAGAAGUUAUCAUUGGGUAGAUCGAAGGCGGUUGGCGUUUCUCCAUUGGAGGUUGGGGAACCACCCUCCGCAGCAGGUCAGCGCUCUACCAUCGCCGAGCUAUUUCUGAUUAAUUUUCGGAAGGGCGCUGAUAAUGUCACUUGGGAUCCAGAAGCCACCAUGAACUAAUCAAUCCAUAGUUGUAAGUCUUGUUCAUCUCCCAAUGCAAUAUAUGCCAAUUUUGUCACCGUUUUUGUCCUUCCCUUUCAUUUUGUGCGGAAGUAUUUUGAGCAUAAUGACUAUUCUCCUAUUUACUUCAUAAAAAUGUUAUGAGCAACAAAUUAGAAAUAAUUUUCAUAGAUAAUAGAUUUCUUCAUAUGGAAUAUUUUGUUCUACUCGUAUGAUGCAUAUGAUCAGCCUAGACCUCAAUGUGACCAGUUUACGUUGCCUAUCUGCCCUUACUAUGCCAAUCGACCACUUAGACCUCUCUCCAAGAAGUUUGAUCGACUCAUGUGGCUCAAUCUACUCACCCCACUAACUGGUCUAGUUGACAAACGCAUUUGACCUAAUAAAUGGAUCCAACUCAAGUUUAUAAUAUAUUUUUCAAAGGGUUGAACAACGUGAGGAUGAAAUCAAGAAGGAAUAAAUAUUUUUAUAACAGAACAAAGAAUAACUAGUCAUGAAUUUAGAAUCCCUAUUCUAUGGAAUCGGUAUUUGUAGGUCAUUUAGAAUAAUUGAAUUCAUCAAUCAAACAAGUGAGCCAAUUCUAAGCUUUUGUACAUUGAUCUUGGCAUGGACAAGUCUCAAACUUCAGCCAACUGGACUAACAAGUCACCACCUAUAGAAUGUUGUCUAGCAAUGGAGGACGACAUGGAUGGUCUGGAGCAGAACUCAGGAAAUGUAAAAUAUUGAUACUAUGAGUCAGUUUAAUAGAGAAUCUUGGAUGCCUAUGUUUUGUGGAGCAAUUUAGUUUUAUCACCAGAGAGGAACAAUAUUCUCAGUAUGUUCAUCUUAACUUAGCCAGCUGUCCCGGCAGAAUCUGUACACAUGAUUGAUGAUUCAUUUACGGGUUCAAGACAAAUGGUUGGUUUAGAUGGUUACUGAAGGAGAUAGGCCAGGCUCUAAAGAUUAGUUUUUUCAUGUAUAAUAGUUUUUUGUCGACCCAAUGUAGUGAGAUAAAACUUGGUGGUGGUGGUGGUUGUUGUAAUAGUUUUUUGAAAUGGUGAUUGGUUCCACCUCUGAAGCCAACCCCUUGUUUCUAAAUGUAUGAUUGAUCUCAUGUCAAGGGAAAGAAAGUGACAAUUUCAAGCCAUGACCAACAUCUGUUUGUUGGAACCAACCCUGCCCACGCCAUAUGAGAAAGUUGGUGGUGGACGUCACCAUUGCGGUCAGGAGAUGGUGGUGAUGAGGAGCGACGAGAUAAAGGCCUUCUACCGUUUGCUGAUUAUCUUACACAAACGGUAGCAGAUGAAGAACAAGCCUAAGCAGGAGAAGAAAGCAUGGAUUGGAUCAUGGUUAAAGAUGGCAUGACCAACACUCAUCUAGUUUCUUCUUGUUCAGCAUAAAUGGAGUCUCCUUUGAGCAUUAAGGGCCCCCUCUUUGUAGAUUGCCUGCAGCUGGAAAAGUAGAUGUGCUUCCAGAAUCUCCACCGACAGGGUAUAGCUGUUCUGUUCUUUAUGGAUAAUUCAAUGCAAAGUUAUUGGGCAGCAUGAAAGGGAAGACUAUAGAUCUUUGCAGAGGUCUGCUUCCUCUUCCCAUGAAUCCAAGAAAUUUGAGAUGCACAGAUAGUACAAGGAGGAGAUGCCAAUAUAGCUGACGGCAAAACACUUGAGCUAAUUGCCACAUUCCCAAUUGGUACAGAUGCAACUUUUACUACUAACACCGUCGAAGAUACCACAGAAGGG